rnacentral:sRNA from 1 species
AUGUCCUACAUCAAGAUGGUUUAGCUAGAUCUUGAACUAGAUUUUAGAUGUAAAUUAGUCUUAGAAUCUAAUCUAAAAUAUUAGUUCAACAAGCUGAAAUUUGGACCUAUGUGCUUCCAUGAUGCCUGACACAGAUCUUGAUUCUUCUAUUGAAGUGAACAAUGUGAAGGAGAAAAUGGAAGAUACAGAUUUGUUAGCACAAACUCAUAAAGUUUCAAAGUGUUCAAAAAUUAAAAUUGAGAAGAUAGAUGAAGAUGAAUCAGACUUGUAUACACAGCCAUCAGAAAAUUAUGCACAAACUUCUAAUGUGAAACUAGGUCAUCAGGAAAUUACUAUGAAGAAAGAGAUAGAAAUAGCAAAUUUUACAGAUAGUAAUAAAUCAUAGUCUUUGGCAUCAAGACUAUUGGCUGUGUCAAAGAAGCCAAACAACAGUCUUUAUCCUGUACCUAUCAUCAUGCCAAAUCUGAAAUCAGCUGGUGAGGCCCAUGGUUCAGAAGUACCAAUG